rnacentral:lncRNA from 1 species
UGGUGGAAGGUAAUUAAAUACGAAAAGACCCAAAUUUUGUCCUUUGAAAUGCAAUGGAUAUAUGCAGAAAGAAAAUGCAAUGGAUUCUAACAGCACCAAGGUAAUAGGGGUAGAACGCUAGAUCAAUGCCAACCCUCGAGUUGACAUUCAAAUCUUGCAAAGGUUGUUAUUGAUGUAAAGACGAAAUUGAACAUGUUUUCUUCCAUCAAAAGGAUGACAGUGGAAUUAAUUGCUACCAUCAAAAGGAUGAUAAUAGUUCGCCAUGAUUUCUAGGAUCGUCAUCACCAAAAGGAUGAUGGAUAAGCUGAGCUUCAAAGGUAGUCAUCACCAAAAGGAUGAUGGUUACAGUGGUUACAACAAAGAUCGCCAUCACCAAAAGGAUGAUGGUAAGAUCAACAACAAAUCUCGUUAUCACGAAAAGGAUGAAAGUUAGACAUAUUCCAAAAGAUUUCCAUCACCAAAAGGAUGAUGUCCGUCACCAAAAAGAUGAUGGUUAUUUUGAUAAAGUUUCCUACUACAGAGAGUAUAACAUCAAGGCUACCACCAAAAGGAUGAUAGUUAACUCAUCAACUUCAAAGAUCACCGUCACCAAAAGGAUGAGGAUAAUAUCCAACAACAAAACUUGUAUUCACCAAAAGGAUGACAAUAAGUCAACGAUCACCAAUGAUCACCAUCACCAAAAGGAUGAAGGUAAGAUACAAGAUAAAACUUGUUACCACCAAAAGGAUGAUAAUAAGUCAAAACAAUCACCAUCACCAAAAGGAUGAAGGUAUAAUUAAAACAAAACUUGUUACCACCAAAAGGAUGAUAAUAAGUCACACAACUCAAAGGAUCCCCAUCACCAAAAGGAUGAAGGUAAGAUCAAAAUAAAACCUUGUUAUCACCAAAAGGAUGAUAAUAAGUCAACAAUCACCAUCACCAAAAGGAUGAAGGUAUAAUUAAAAGACAAAACUUGUUAUCGCCAAAAGGACGAUAAUAAGUCGACAAUCACCAUCUGUUAUCACCAAAAGGAUGAUAAUAAGUCAACAAUCACCAUCACCAAAAGGAUGAAGGUAUAAUUAAAAGACAAAACUUGUUAUCGCCAAAAGGACGAUAAUAAGUCGACAAUCACCAUCACCAAAAGAAUGAAGGUAAGGUCAAACGACAAAACUUAUUACCACCAAAAGGAUGAUAAUAAGCACACAACGCAAUUGAUCACCAUCACCAAAAGGAUGAAGGUAAGAUCAAGACAAAAACUUGUUAGCACCAAAAGGAUGAUAAUAAGUCAACAAUCACGAUCACCAAAAGGAUGAAGGUAUAAUUAAAAGACAAAACCUGUUAUCGCCAAAAGGACGAUAAUAAGUCAAAAUAGACUGAAAUGAUCACCAUCACCAAAAGGAUGAAGGUAACGUCAAACGACAAAACUUGUUACCACCAAAAGGAUGAUAAUAAGUCAAUAACCUUAAAUAUCACUGACACCAAAAGGAUGACAGUAAGAUCAAACAAACCGAACUUGUUAUCACCAAAAGGAUGAUAAUAAGGAUAGAACUUCAAAACUUGUUAUCACCAAAAGGAUGAUAAUAAGCUGAAACAGACUCAAUGAUCGCCAUCACCAAAAGGAUGAGGGUAAGAUCAAAACAAAACUCGUUAUCACCAAAAGGAUGAUAAUGAGUCCAUUACUCACAUGGUCACCGUCACCGAAAGGAUGAAGGUAGGAUUAAACAACAAAACUCAUUACCACCAAAAGGAUGAUAAUAAGUCAAUAACCUUUACGGAUCACCGUCACCAAAAGGAUGAAGGUAGGAUCGAACAACAAAACUUGUUAUCACCAAAAGGAUGAUAAUAAGUCGACAAUUACCAUCACCAAAAGGAUGAAGGUACUACAAACAACAGAACUCGUUAUCACCAAAAGGAUGAUAAUAAAUCAACAAUCACCAUCACCAAAAGGAUGAACAUGAGAUCAUAACUUCAAAACUUGUUACCAUCAAAAGGAUGAUAAUAAGUUAUAAUAACUUCAAAUAUUGCUGACACCAAAAGGAUGGCAGUGGGGUUGGUCUUUCCAAAUGUCACCAUUACCAAAAGGAUGACAUUUUAAACCAAACUCCAUAAUCUCUAUCACCAAAAGGAUGAUACUUAGAUUGAACUGGACGUCAUCACCAAAAGGAUGAUGGUUGAACCGAAAUGACAAGGAUCCUUAUCACCAUAAGGAUCGCUGACACCAAAAGGAUGACGGUAGGCUGUAAUAAUUGCAGAGGUCAUCAUUCACCAAAAGGGUGAAGGUUGGACCAAAACUCCAAGGAUCUUCGACACCAAAAGGAUGACAGUAAGAUCACAAAUGUCAAGGAUUUACCAUUACCAAAAGGAUAACGGUUAUUGUAAACAGGACGAUGAUCAAUAUUAUUCUUCAAUGGACUUUCACCAAGAGAAUGAUAGUGAGAAAAAUAUUGGAAAAAAAAGGCUACUGACAAAGUUCAGUAAACCUGACUUGUUGGGUAGUAUUGGAACAUUACCGUGUAAGACUUACUUGGGGUAUCAACAACAAAAGGUUGCAAAACCAAUAUUCUCUAGGGAGAUGUAGUUUCUGUCAACAAAAGGUUACAAGAAACAACUCAUUGUAGGGUACCAAAUGGAAUUCUCCUUGAAAGGAAACCUUAGGAGUGAUUAUCCCAUGACAUGGUUUGAGUUUGUUUUCCCGAGUUUUUAUAUCUUGCUAUGGUCUGCCCCGGAUUAGCCUUUGAGGGACUUACCCUAGACGGACUGAGUAUUGAAGUGUUUUUCCUCCUUGAUCAACCGAUGCUUGGAGAUUUGUCUUAUACUGACUACUUCUUAAGUCAAUAUAAUCAAAAAGACACCAUGCCCCUGAUUCAUAGGAUUAUGAGAUGGUCUCGAUUCGUGUCAGCACCAACGAUCAAGUGCCCCUUGAAUUGCCCCUUGUUGGAAUUUUCUCGAUGUCAAGUACCGAUUGACAAUUAAGAAUUGUUAUCCAAAAAAUGGUGAUUUUAAUGCAAUAGUUAUGCAAGUUUUGAAAAACAAUCAUUCAUUUGGAGUGUCGUGGUAGUGUGUGGCGAAUGGACCAUGAGUCCAAACGCGGUGCUGAUUUUAGCUAGUGUGUGAGUGAUAUAGUGAGAAGAGAAUAUUAGCAAAUCUCUAGGAGUCAGUUUACUCAACCUUGCUGUAGUAUGCUUUCAGAAAAACCUUACUUCAAUUAGGUCUUUUGAAGGUUGUAACAUGGCUUGGUUCAUGGUUAUUGAAACAAAAGGAUAUAAGGCUCAAAGUUUAUUUUAACCCACCCCUUCUUCAUGAUGAUCUCCAAUCAUACGUUCAGUUAAUUCACACACAUUCGUUUUUUGUAGGUGUAAGGAUAAAGAUGGUGAUUCAAGGUCUCUUAGAAUGACAACCACCUUAUUUCAUUUUUUGGAUGUCGGUGACCCUUUGAUUUUGGUAUGGUGGUCACUGAAUCUUGUUUUGUUUUGUUGGAGACUUUCAUUGUCUCUUUCGAUUUUUGUUUUGAUCCCUAACUUUUGUUAUGGUGGUCACUGAAUCUUGUUUUGUUUUGUUGGAGACUUUCAUUGUCUCUUUCGAUUUUUGUUUUGAUCCCUAACUUUUGCAUGGACCGCUUUGUUUGAAGCUUUAAUCCAUCGGGAUUGCCCUUGUUUUUGCCUAAGUCCCUUUUUAAGGUGUUUGACUUAGCGGGCUCUUUCUUUGAUUGAUUUUUUUUGGAAAUUGUGACUGCCAAGUCAUUGGUCAUUGAAGAACAACAGACCUAAAUCUUUGAUUUGUAUGGUUUCUUCGACACUUCAAGAUGUGUGCGAAGAAUAUAAUGUGAUUGAUCCUUUUAUGGGAUAUUUCAUCUUGUAAUUCGAAAGUGUAGUUAGACCAACUGAACACUACCCUGCCCCAGUUAAGCGUAAGGGUUUUUUAGAUCUGAAAGAAACUCCUACUUCUAGGCUCGAAGUGGUUGACUAGGGAUUAACUCCUUAUCUCUCCAGUGUUUAGGGAUUUGAAACAAUUCCUGUACAUCAUUAGCAGGAUUUUAUCCGAAAGCAUUCGAUCAGCAAUUAUGAGUAUUUUGUUUUCGUCAUUCUCCUUCCAACAUUUGCUAACAAUAGUGUGAUAAAAAAGGUGAAGUGGAAAAGUAUGUGUUUGUGAUUUGCAAAUGUGAUAAUAUGGGUGAAUAUGAAAGGUUGAUUCAAAGCAUGCAUAAUCAUCCCAUUAAUAAGACCAAAUACAAAUAACAAUGUUUAAAGCAUACAAUACUUAAACAACCAAGAAUAAAUUACAAAAGUGCGAAACUGUAAAAAUGGCAUAAUGAUUGCCUUCAUUCAGAGCAACAGGACUUCAUCUCUUGAUUCACUGGCGGAAUUGCUCUGCUUGUUCAGGCCGGUGGGAAGCUUUACCUUCGAGCUUCACUCGACUCUGCAUGUGUUGGCAUGGGAUUUGUUGCAACGUUUGGCCUAACUGGCGUGAAGGUGACUGCCUUACUGUCAAUCAGGUCCUGGAAUUUGUAUUUGAAAGCCUUACAGUUCUCUAUUGUGUGCCCUGGGGCACCCAUGUGAUACUCGCAGUGAGCGUUGGCAUCAUAGCCCGGAGGAUAGGGUGGAGUUGUAGGUGUUAGCUCCUUCAAAACAACCGAUCCAUCCUUUAGCAGAUAGGGGAGGAUCUUGCUGUAUGGUACUGGAAAAUGAUCGAAAUGUCUUUAUGGCCUCCUUGCUCUCUGCUGAUUAGGUUGACGUGGUUGUGGAGCACGUUGUUGUUGAUUCUGAUGUUGUUGUUGGUAAGCCGACUGUUGAUAAGGUUGUUGAUAGGGUUGCUGAUAGGGUUGCUGAUAUGGUGUGGGGAUGGCAGCGGCAACCUGAUGAUAUGGCAUAGGAGCAUAUGGAGGCGUCCUAUAUCCUCCUCUCAUUACAACAUUGGUCUGACCUUCUGGCUUCUUCGGAGGAUUAGGAUGAGGUUUCUUCAUUCCACUUGAAGCAUUAGCAGCACAUGUAGCUUUCCCUUCUUGAUCUGGCUUUCAAUUCGUUCUCCCUCAGAGACAACCUCAGCAAAAGUUAGGAAACUGGAUCCUACCAUUUUCCCUAUGUAUUGGGUAUGCAGAGUUCCCAUAAACAUAUCAAUUAGUUCCUUGUCGAGGAGAGGAGGUUGGACACGAGCUGCCAGCUCUCUCCACCGUUGGGCGUAUUCCUUGAAUGACUCGUUGUUGCCUUGAUUCAUGUCUUGUAGCUGUGUGCGAUUGGGUGCUAGAUCAGUGUUGUACUGAUAAUGCCUAAGGAAGGCUUCAGCGAGAUCUCUCCAUGAUUGGACCUGACCUCUCUCUAGUUGCAUGUACCACCCCAAGGAUGCCCCACUGAGGCUAUCUAGGAAGUAAUGAAUCAAGAGUUGAUAAUUACUGAUGUGGGCAGCCAUUUUGCGACAAUAGGCUCUGAGGUGAGUUCUCGGGCAGCUGAUCCCUUUGUAUUUGUCAAAGUCCGGGACUUUGAAUUUUUGUGGAAUCACGAGUCCUGGUACCAGGCACAUGUCAACAGCGUCCAAACCGGGAGUAGUGUGAACCUCCAAGGACUUAAACUUCUCUUCCAGAGCAUGGAGUCUCUCAGCAGCUGGGUCUGGGAUACCUCCAACAGUAGGUUAGGCUGGUUGUGGCAUGAAUAAGGCGUCCUAUGGAUCUUCAUCACCCAUGAUGGAUCCAUGGCGAGCAGAUGUAACAGAGUGCUCAUGGGGGUUCAUGUUGACCAUGGGAAUAGGAAUAGGGAUCGGUCUUCCUAUAGGCUGAUUAGGGUUACCAUCAAGGUCAAUCACUCCAGGGAUACUGAGCGAUGGUGAUCCAAACUGGGCAGCAACUUUCCUGGCUUCAGCGUUAGUCUCAACAUCCUUCUCCUUCUGGGCCAAGAGUAACAUGGAUUCCAACAAGCGAUCCAUCUUUGCCUGCAUGGGUCAAUGUCGGUCCUCAUUGAAACUUGAUUUGCGUCAAGCUGUUUGAGUGUCAUCUUGUAGUUGCGGCGUAUUUCAUACCGGUGUCGAGUAGUCAGCGUUACUGGACAAGGGUAGAGUAUGGUGUAAGUUUUUGUUUCUAGAAGAUGAUAUGCAACGCAUGUUUAUGAUAUGAAAAUGCAUGAAGUUUCGCCAUGCUUUCCAUAAAGGAAUACAGACUCCAAAUUAUCCACACGUCGGGUAUAUCAGGAUAAUAGGAAGAAGCACGGGUUUCUCUGAUCACAAGAAAUUCCCAAAGGUAGGUACUAAAGUUAUGUUUUCAAGGAAGGAACUUAGACUCACGGAUCAAGUUCAAAACUUCCUCACAAUGGUGGGCUAGCCACAUCGUGAUGGGAGUUCUGAAAUGAUCUAAUCUAAGUGGGAUUCUCGUAUUGUUCGAACAUGGUGUAGACCCUUCGAUUCAAUACUACAUAAUCGCCAAUCAUGAAAACAAAACUUGGGUUUAAGGAGAGGUCCCUAGAGUCACGGAUCGUAUUUAGAACCUCCCCACAAUGAUGGGCUAGCCAUAUUGUGAUGGAAACUCCAAACAAAUCUACUCUAGGUGGAGUCUUCGUAUUGUCCCAAUGAGGUGUACACCCCUCGGUUCAAUACUACACAACUCCGGGUUCUAAGUUCUUCUCGAAGCUCGGGUAUGAAGCUUAUCUCACAGCAUACACCAAGUCCCAUAUCAAAGUAUCAACAUAUUACAUACAACAACAUAAUAAAAUACAGAGAAACAAGCACGGAAGAUAAGAACAUCUUCUAACAGUCAUAGAAAAAUAAGACUAAGUUAGGUUAGACUCUUUCUUGCUUGGAGCAGGGUCCCCAGCAGAAUCGCCAGUCUGUCGCACCUCGAAAAUGAUAAUGCGAUCCCUCGCGAUAGGAUGCGGAAAAAUGUUGUUCGAAACAGAUACUGGAUAGAAAACCACGGAAGAGUAACCGUCAUCAAUUAGGAUGAACAAAAGGUUAACUCUGCAAAGGGGAGAAAAUAGGGUUUACAACUACCAGUAUAAGGGUAGAAAACCACGGAAUCCGCCGAGGAUAAGAUGAAUGAUUACUGAUUACUGAGAAAUUAUUCAUUUAUACCACGGGGAAGCACAGGAAACAGAUCACAAGAAACAUAUUUAGGAUCAAACUAAAGAGGCCAACUGAGUCAAGACUCGUCCUAGUGAGGAUAUAAUUCAAUAGGGAAUCCCAUCCCAGAAUAUGUGUUGGGAGGAAGCAAAAACAACCGUCGUCCACGAGGAUAUAACUCGGUGGGUGUCGCUCCCCAGGAUUUCCCGAAUCCAGGUACAAACGCAAAGAAGAGUGGCGAGAAACAAAAAGGGUAGAGUCGCCAGCUAUGUACUUUUAUCCCAAUGGGAGGGAAAGGUAGUACUGCAUAACCUAGAGGGAAUGGAUAAAACGAAGUCUCGAACCAAAGAAACUGAGUAAGGGGGCCGGUUACGUGAAGGGAAGGUUAUCGCACCCCUUCACGUCUGUGGUACUCCACAGGAUCCACGAUUGCUAUUUAUGUCUAAAGUGUGUAUAAAAAUCCUAUAUGCAAUGCAAAGGAGAGAAAAUCAAAGUAGGGAAAAUAAAGAGUUAUUGCUCGCACAUGCCCUACCCUACUGCAUACGUAUCUCAAGAAGGAUUGAGAAUCAGAGCACCGUAGCUCGGCUAACCUACUUUUGUUUUUUUUGUGUUUUUUAAGUGAACGACGCUACUACGCAAUCUACCGGAUGCUCGACCUUGGGAGACUUACUCGCCUGUAGUAGAAGGAGUCAACGUGUCCUUAAGAGAUGAUAGAGUUUGCUUGUGUUUUAGGAAUGCUCAUGCAAGAAAGGAAGUCCUAGACGAAGGAACCGUGCUACCUUAAUUGACAUGCAAACGAGAGACUAUACGAAGUCUAGCAAUCCUAUGGGGAGACUAUAAGCCAAGUUCUCUUUAGAGAACAACAAAAACUGGAAACAGAAUGCCAAUCAAUGGUCUUACAUCCAACUCCACACAACAAACAGGAAACAGGAAUGCCAACGGCUGGACUUACAUCUAACUCCUGAACAACAAAAUAAACGGAAACGGAAUGCCAAUCAAUGGUCUUAUAUCCAACUCCACAAAACAGAUAGGAAACAGAAAGCCAAUCAAUGGUCUUACAUCUAACUCCUAAAACAAUCAAGCAACAAAUGCAAACACACAAAAAUGCAAUCAUCACACUCUAUAUACAAACAAGAGGCUCAGACAAAAGGUUAGGCUUUAGUCAAGGGGUCAUAUCAACCUCGACAAACAAGCCAAAACUAUAGGGGUGUUCUGAAGCUCUUAACCACUAACAUUGAGAGUUAGGGUGAAGCUGAUGAAAGGUACUGAGGAUUAGACCCCAUGCUCUUAACCCUGGCCUAGGUGAGCUUGAAUCAAAGAAGGUGUGGGGAUCCAGAAUGAGGGACCCUAUUCCACUUGACUGACUCUAUACAAGAUCUGUUGUGUUUAUUCAAAAGUAUCAGCACGUAGUGCGAGCAUAAUGAAAGACUCAACUAAAUAACAGUGGAUUGAUUGCAAACUCCCUUCUAUCUGUCAAUUGCCUCUUCACUUAGGAGGACUUAACAAGUAACAUGCCUCAUUUAGAGGUCUUUAGCACAAAUGUAAACAAUCACAAUCAUGGCCUCUUAAGGAGGACUUCAGCCAAAUGCCUACCAAAAAGGUGGCAGGAAUUCCAGACUACAUGGAGAAAGAGAGUGGUUACCUAAGUGGUAUACCAACCACACUCCAAAGCAAAGCUCAAGCAAGAGCUAAAAGCGACUAAUGUACCUGUACAAAAGCCAAACAUUCAAUAUCUCAGACAGAAAAAAAAACAGACAACAAUACUGGAACUUUAGAAUAUCUACACAAUGCAAGUCACAAAUGCAAGCACUCAAGUGAGUUCAUCACAUCAAUGGACCUACAACACAACAAGAGUUAGUGAUCAAAGCAAAUGGCAUCUCAAAUGAUGAGGCCACACCAAUCAUUAGUGCUAAAUACCUGAAACACAAACACAAUUGGUGAGUACAAACCACUAGUACAAAGACUAGGGUCAAAGGCAAGUCAAAUGACUCAAAGCAAAUGGCAUCUCAAAUGAUGAGGCCACACCAAUCAUUAGUGCUAAAUACCUGAAACACAAACACAAUUGGUGAGUACAAACCACUAGUACAAAGACUAGGGUCAAAGGCAAGUCAAAUGACAAAAACAGAAGUCAACAUUUCUCAUGAAGCACAAUCAUUCAAACAAGAAAUAGUCCUCAAAAGGACCAAAGCCAAUUCAUAGGGAAAAGCCAUCACAUGAACAAAAUAAGGCAAAGGCAAGCAAUGUGAUCAAGAUUGGACAUCAAGAAUAGAAAAUCCACAUUAAAACAGAAAUGUGUCCAAUGAUCAUGAAAAAUUUUAAGUGAACAUAAUAUGUUAUGGACAAAUAUCAUACCAAAAAUUAUAUCCAGAAGCAAACAAAUGGUGUAUGAAUGAAAAUGCACAAGUACAAAGCACAACAUGUUACACCAAAUGUCACAACAUAUGUCCAUGUGUCCAAAACAGUGAUAUUAAAUGAUAAAAAUGCCAAACAAAAGCCAAAACAUCAUGUUACAUGUUGUGAUCAGGCAUGUCAAAUUUCAAGGCAAUUGGAUAAACCAUGAGCAUUUCACAAAUCAAUUAGCACAACAUAGCAAAUUGGCAUCAUGUUCAAACAAUCAAACACAAUUAAAAAUCCAGCAACACAAAAAUCAGGAAAUAAAUGCCAAAAAAAUUAGACAUUAACACAAGCAUGUGGAGAAAAGUUUGGAUUAAUUUGGACAUGUAUACUAUUUUUAGUGAUUUUUUGAAGUUGAAGAAAAAAAAUGAAAUAAUGUGGAAAGCAUGUGGAAAAUGAAAUGUGAAUUAAAAUAGAAACAUGCAUAUGCCAGAUUCGAACACAGGUGAAGCAAGUCAAAUGAGCGCUCAACAUGAAAAUCAAUUGGAAAAUCAAAACAUCAUACGCAGGGAAUCGAACAGAGGCUUGGCAAGGCGGAUAAGAAAACAACAAUGCAAUUUCAGAAAUACAUGGCAAGGUAUCGAACAGAGGCGCACAAGGUCAUAAGCGCUAUCAAAACGCAGCGUUCCAAUCAAAGAAAACAAAUGGAAUUAAAAAACGCAUGCGGCAAGGUUCGAACAGAGGACAGCAAGGUCACAGCGCGCGUGAAGCAAAAACCCUAAGGUUGAACCAGACGGUCGGGAUAGUGAUUCCGGUCGUCUUCUCCGGUGGUUCUCCGGCAACCUUCAUCAUUUUUUUUCCAGAAAUGGACGUGCUAUACACCAUUGGAAAGGUCUUUUUACGUAGAACACAAAUAUCACAAUUAUUUAGCCUAAUUCCUAACGAAUCAACUGGAUCGAAGAGAAACAUUUUGCAUAUCAAAACUUCAUAUCAUCAUAUCUCACUCAAUACUUAACCAAAUUCAAAACAAUUUAUAUCAGCAUCAUCAGUGAAUCAAGCUCUACAAGAUUAUAUACAUGAAAAGGCAAAUAAUGAGGAUCGAAUUUCAAGCUUACUUGAUGUGUAGUGUUCAAAUCCACGUGUUCAAGGCUCCAGAACUUCCAGAUCCACUCCAGUAAUCUUGAUUUGGAGCUUUAUGCACAAAAUAGCAAUUGAAAUCCACCAGAUCUAGCUUAAUUUGAAGCUUCCAUGUUCAUCUUCAAGCUUUGGAUAUGCACGAUUCUGUACCAAAUUCUUCAAUCCAAACCUUGAUUCUUCAUCAAUGAUACAUGCUGAACACGAUUAUGCAAGAGUUUUGUGGAAUUGGAUGAAGAAAUCUGAAAUUUGAAGAGAGAGAAAAUUGAGAGGGAAAUGAAAUUUUUGAUCUAAAUUCUGUUAUUCUCUCAAUUGUGAUUAGGAUUUAGCUUUUAUAUGGUCCCUUAAUCAUGCUGUAAUUAAGAUUAGGCAUUGGUUAAAUGAAAAUUAAGGAGAAAUAAGGUGAAUGGCAAAUAUGCAAAUGUGAGGUGGCAUGAGCAAUGUGCACGUGGACAGUGCCAUGCAAGGUGCAAUUUCACUUAAAAUCAUCCAAUGAACAUGAUGGAAUUGGAAUUAGGCUUGUAUGAUUCACCAAUUUUGAAUUACCAACUUUCCCUCCAAAAUGCACUUGAAUGAACACUUGAUCAUGUGAGCUUCUUUCAUGCAAAGCAAUGGUUGAUUUGGAAAAUAUUGGUCACAAGGAGCAUGUUGCAAAAAGAGUGGACCACUUUGGAGUUUUGAGUCAAAAGUUAUGCCAUUUUUGGAAAAUCAAGUUGAAUAUGGUCCAAAAACUUGCCAUUUUUGGAAACUUUCAAUUACAGGUCACUUUCCAUUUUUGGAAACUUUUGAUUUGACUUCAAAAUCUUCAAGGUAGGUGUUUGCCAUGAUGAAUAAACCUUGUUUGAACAUGAUUGAGAUACUUCCACUCACUUCCUCAUCUCAAAGCCCCUAGUUGACUGCACAGUUGACUUUUAUGGUCCUUAGAUGACCUGGAAAUGUACUGAUGAAUUUGGGCCUCUACCUCUUGGUAAAAUUGCUUCAAAAUGAGCCCUAGCUCAUAUAAGCUCUUUAGAAUAAUCAUGUAGCCUUCAUCUCAAGGAAAUACUUGCUCUUAUGCACUGAGGAUUCUCUUGAUGCCAAUUCUGACUGAUAUGAUGCAAUGCAACAUGGAAUGAUAAAUGUCCUAAAAAAUGAAAUGAAUGCAUGAGUGGGGGAGGGAAAAUUUGAGGUGCUACAGUGGGGAAUGUGGAAAGAAAGAUAAACACUUUCUGCUUAAGGAGCUGACUCUUCAUGGGGAGAUCAGACACCGACAUCUGCUUGGGAAAUGUAUUACCAACUAGCAGGGGAUAACAAACAAAGAUAUAUGGCAAAGAAUGUAAUCAUGAAUAUCUGAAUGUUUGAAAAGUAUAUGCACACAUGCGUGGUUUAUGUAUGAUGAAUGCUGACAAACAAACAUUUCUAACACAAACAGCUCCAUAGAAAAAGUACACAAACACCCGGUACUACAUCUCGAGAGAGAAAGCCAGGUUCACCGGAAAGUAUCCAAUAUGAUGAGGGCAAGAGAAAACAGGAAGCAAAGAUCCCUACAGGGGAUGAACAUCAGUCAUUCCAGCUGGGGACAAGAGUUAUUGCACAGAUAAAAAUUUGCCGCAUAAGCAACUCCACUGGGGAAUCUAUCCAAGGGAUAAAGGAAUUCUGGGGAUCAAACACCAAGUACCGUACUCACCAAGGAGAUCACCUCUACUGAGGAGGAAAGGUCGCUACUCUGCUGAAGGGAAGAGUGGUGGAUAUCUCACCAAGCACUCCAACCUGUGGGAAAACCACAAAAGGCUCCGGAGGAAGAAGAUACAGUCAUGACAGGCAUAUGAACAAAUGUCUUACCCUGCUAGGGAUCAUACCAUCCUUGGGAAAGCACUGAAGAUCUCCUAAGUAUCCUUUCGUCAUUGUGAAUGUUCACUUUGUUUAAAACAAGUUAUGAUUAUUCAAAAUAAUGAUAUUUUCUCAAUUAAAGCAUGCAAAACGUUUGUUGAAUAGAAACAAAUAAGAGUGCAAAUAAUUGGAUAAAAGGCUCAAAUUUAUUAGAUGGAAUGGUAGUCUGCAAAUGGGAAGACUCCAUAGAUCUUUACAAGUUUGAAAUUGGUGACAUAUAUUGGAAAAGGGCUACAUUGAACAUAAUGACCAUUUCUCCACCAAUUCUGAAUCCGAUGUAUUUGAAGCUUCGGUUGAUGACGAAUGAGCAAGAAUCUCUGACGGAUGAUAGUUAUAGAACAAAGACUUGUCAGGAUGCAGUUACUUGCCAAAUCCCUAAUUUUUGCCUAGAUUGCCCCAGGAUGGGGUACUCAAUCUAGCGGGAUACAUAUAUUCAUUUUUAUGUCUCUAACUUUUGCCUGGACCGCCCUUUCGGGUUUUCAAUCCACCGAGACGCUCAUUUUGCCUAAUCCGCCUUUCGGGUUUUCAACUUAGCGAGCUAUUCUGUUUUAUUUUUAGGCGAAGUAUUUCUUGACUGCAUCUGAAUUCACAGGACGAGUGAAAUCCUCCCCAUCCAUAGUUGUCAGUAUCAAAGCACCGCCUGAAAAGGCUUUCUUAACAACAUAUGGACCUUCAUAGUUUGGAGUCCACUUGCCCCUGGAAUCGGGCGCGAAAGACAAGACUUUCUUGAGCACGAGGUCACUCCUCGGAACACACGAGGCUUGACAUUCUUAUCAAAGCUUUCUUCAUUCUUUGCUAAUACAAUUGACCAUGGCACAUGGCAGUCAAUCUUUUCUCUUCUAUCAAGUUCAAUUGGUCAUAACGACUCUGAACCCAUUCAGCGUCAGUCAACUUGGCUUCCAUCAAGACUCUCAUUGAUGGGAUCUCCACCUCUACUAGGAGUACAACCUCCAUGCCAUAAAGAAGAGAGAAAGGGGUUUCCCCUGUUGAAGUGCGGACAGGUGUACGAUAUCCGUGUAAGGCAAAUGGCAGCAUCUCAUGCCAAUCCUUGUACGUGACAACCAUCUUUUGGAUAAUCUUCUUGAUAUUCUUAUUAGCAGCUUCAACAUCCCCAUUCAUCUUGGGUCUAUAGGGAGAAGAAUUAUGGUGUGUGAUAUUGAACUCACUACACAGCUCUUUCAUCAUCUUGUUGUUCAAGUUAGAUCCAUUAUCAGUAAUGAUCUUAUCUGGCACACCAUAACGAAAUAUGAGUUGAUUCUUGAUAAACUUCACGACCAUUUGCCUGGUCACAUUUACAUAUGAUGUUGCUUCAACCCACUUGGUAAAGUAAUCAUUCGCUACGAGAAUAAAUUUGUGUCCAUUAGACGCUUUCGGUUCUAUCAUGCCAAUCAUGUCAAUUCCCCACAUAGAGAAAGGCCAUGGUGAUGAGAUCACAUUCAGAAGUGUCAGAGGAAUAUGAAUUUUAUCCGCAUAGAUCUGACACUUAUGGCAUUUCUUCACAUAUUCAUGCCAAUCAUGUCAAUUCCCCACAUAGAGAAAGGCCAUGGUGAUGAGAUCACAUUCAGAAGUGUCAGAGGAAUAUGAAUUUUAUCCGCAUAGAUCUGACACUUAUGGCAUUUCUUCACAUAUUUGUAGCAGUCGGACUCCAUUGUCAGCCAAUAGUAGCCUGCUCUUAACAUCUUUCUAGCCAUGGCAUGUCCAUUGGAAUGAGUACCAAAUGAACCCUCGUGGAUCUCAGUCAUCAACAGGUCUACUUCGUGUCUAUCCACGCAUCUGAGUAGAACCAUGUCAAAAUUUCUCUUGUAAAGCACAUCACCAUUGAGGUAGAAACUGCUUGAUAAUCUCCUUAGAGUCUUCCUGUGUUUCACAGAUGCCCCAAGCGGGUAAAUCUGGUUUUGAAGGAAACACUUGAUGUCAUAAUACCAUGGCUUAUCAUCUUUCGUUUCUUCUACUGCAAAUACAUAAGCUGGUCUGUCCAAGCGCAUCACGGUGAUGUUGGGGACUUCAUUCCAAAGUUUAACCAUAAUCAUCGAAGCAAGUGUAGCAAGAGCGUCUUCCAUCCGAUUCUCAUCUCGAGGAAUAUGAUGGAAGUCAACCUCAGUAAAGUACGUUAAGAUCCUCCUCGCAUAAUCCCUUUAUGGGAUGAGACUAGGCUGAUUCGUUUCCCAUUCACCCUUAAUCUGAUUAACAACGAGGGUCGAAUCACCAUAAACAUCGAGGUGUUUGAUCCUAAGAUCAAUGCACUCUUCCAAUCCCAUAAUAAAAGCUUCGUACUCAGCCAUAUUAUUCAUGCAUUUGAAAGUUAGCCUUGCUGUAAAAGGAAAAUAUGUGCCCUGAGGAGUAAUAAUCACUGCCGCAAUACCAUUUCCGUACUGAUUUACAGCGCCAUCAAACACCAUACUCCAUCUGGAACCAGGUUCUGGCCCUUCAUUAAGUGUAGGUUCAUCACAAUCUUUCAUUUUCAAAUACAGGAUUUCCUCAUCUGGGAAGUCAUACUGAACUGACUGAUAAUCCUCAAUCGGCUGAUAUGACAAGUGGUCAGCCAAGAUACUACCCUUAAUAGCCUUCUAAGCUCGAUACUCAAUAUCAUACUCAGAUGACAACAUUUGCCAACGGGCAAUCCUCUUGUUAAAUCAGGCUUCUCGAAGAUAUACUUGAUUGGAUCCAUUCUGGAUAUCAACCAAGUCGUAUGAUUCAACAUAUACUGGCGUAAGCGCUUAGCAGCCCAAGCCAAAGUGCAACAUGUCUUCUCAAGCAUUGAAUAUCGAGACUCACAAUCGGUGAACUUCUUGCUCAAGUAGUAAAUAGCAUAUUCUUUCUUUCCUGAUUCGUCUUGCUGACCAAGGACACAACCCAUUGAAUCUUCAAGAACAAUCAGAUACAUAAUCAAAGGUCUUCCCUCCACGGGGGGAGACAGGAUCGGAGGCUCAGACAGAUACUCUUUAAUACUGUCGAAAGCUUUCUAGAAAUCCUCGGUCCAAUCAUGGGACUGAUCUUUCCGGAGGAGCUUGAAUAUCGGCGCACAUGUGGCAGUCAUGUGGGAUAUGAAUAUAGAAAUAUAAUUCAAGCGGCCAAGAAAACCUCGGACUUGCUUCUCAGUUUUGGGUGCAGGCAUUUCUUGUAUUACUUUGACCUUUGCAGGAUCAACCUCAAUACCUUUCUCGCUAACAAUAAAGCCCAAUAACUUGCCGGAACGGACUUCAAAUGUACACUUGUUGGGAUUCAGACGGAGCUUAUACUUCCUUAACCGCUGAAAAAGCUUUAACAAGUGCUCUACAUGUUCAACUUCCGUUCUUGACUUGGCAAUCAUAUCAUCAACAUAUACCUCGAUUUCCUUGUGCAUUAUAUCAUGAAACAAGGUGGUCAUAGCUCGGUGAUACGUGGCUCUGGCGUUCUUCAAACUGAAGGGCAUUAAUCGAUAACAGAAUGUUCCCCAAGGUGUGAUGAAUGUUGUUUUCUCCAUAUCCUCGGAUGCCAUUUUAAUCUGAUUAUAUCCGGAAAAUCCGUCCAUAAAUGAGAAGACAUUGAAUUUAGCUGUAUUAUCUACCAACAUAUCAAUAUGUGGUAGAGGGAAAUCGUCUUUCGGGCUAGCUUUAUUCAAGUCCCUAUAGUCCACACACAUCCGGACUUUUCCAUCUUUCUUAGGCACGGGCAUAAUAUUGUUCACCCAUUGAGGAUAUGUAGAAGUCACCAGAAACCCUGCAUCAAUUUGCUUCUGAACCUCCUCUUUGAUCUUCACUGCCAUAUCGAGAUGAGUUCUUCUGAGCUUCUGCUUUACAGGCACGCACUCAGGCUUCAAAGGCAGGAAAUGUUGCACGAUAUCUGUAUCUAGACCCGGCAUGUCUUCAUAUGACCAGGCAAAGACGUCGACAUAUUCUCGUAGCAAUUCAAUCAACCCUUUCUUAACAGAUUCUUCCAGGAGUGCCCCAAACUUCACUUCUCGCACACAAUCUUUAGACCCCAAGUUGACUGUUUCCAGGUUCUCAAGAUGCGGCUGAAUGAUUUUCUCUUCAUGCUCAAGUAGACGGGUGAUCUCGUCAGGAAUCUCUUCAAUAUCAUCUUCUUCCGCCUCAAAUACAGGGAAUUCAAAGCUGGGAGAUGGUGUUGGGUCAUUAUGUUCAAUGGGUUUGAUCAACCUGCAUAAUGAUUUUGGAUUUGAAAAGCUUUAGAAUUCAAACAAUGCAAACCAUUAUGCAGAUGAAAAGAUUGAUUUUAUUCUAUUUUUUAGGUUUUAUGUGAUCACCAAUUUCAUGCAAAAAGCGAAAAGGGAAAAUAAUUGGAAGACAAACAUUUAACAUGAAUCUAUUGAAUGAAAAUAUCAUUGUAUUUAUGUGCCAUCAAUGUCAUCACUCCUCCUUUGGCAUGGGAGGAGGGUUUUUAAACACAAUGAGCAUUACUUUGACUUAUGGAUAACUGUUGGAAUAUCCACAACGACCCAAUUAUUGUAGAUUCCCCCAGGGAUGACGAAGUUGCCAGAAUCCUCUUCGUCCUCUUCCAAGAUGGCAGCAACCUCUUCGCCUUGAUUGGUGUGGAUGAACCCUCCACUAUUGAACAGCCCUCGCGUGUUAGAAACCCCAGAAGAAUAACCUAUGCCAGCCCGAGACUUGUUGUCUUCUAGCUCAAUCAUCUUCCCUAAUCCAGCGGUUGCGCCACGCUCAAUGGCCAACUUUGCAUCUUUGUAGGAAGCAAAUGAAGGAGUUCUCUUCUCAAUAGGUUCAAUAAUAGAUAAAGCUUAGAAAGGAGUUCCAACUUCAUCCUCAGCAUCUAUAUAUGAGAAAGAAGACAAAUGGCUAACCAGGAGAGCCUUUUCUCCCCCUACCACCACCAGCUUCUUAUUCUUCACGAAUUUCAGUUUCUGGUGUUCAGCAUCUAUAUAUGAGAAAGAAGACAAAUGGCUAACCAGGAGAGCCUUUUCUCCCCCUACCACCACCAGCUUCUUAUUCUUCACGAAUUUCAGUUUCUGGUGUAGGGUGGAUGUCACGACGCCUGCUUCGUGAAUCCAUGGUCUGCCUAGGAGACAACUAUACGAUGGGUGAAUGUCCAUGACCUGAAAGGUAAUCUGGAAAUCACCUGGUCCGAUUUUUAUUGGGAGAUCAACUUCCCCAAUCACAGUUUUGCGAGACCCAUCGAAAGCCUUCACAACUACUCCACUCUGCCUCAUGGGAGGCCCUUGAUAUGAUAGUUUCGAAAGAGUGAUUUUUGGCAAUACGUUUAAUGAUGACCCAGUGUCUACCAGCACAUUGGACAUGGCGUCGUCUUUGCAACCAAUAGAUAUAUGUAAUGCCAAGUUGUGGUCUCUUCCCUCCUCGGGGAGAUCAGAGUCACAAAAACUCAAGUUGUUACAAGCAGUAAUGUUUGCAAUAAUGCUAUCGAAUUGUUCUAUUAUGACAUCGUGAUCCACAUGUGCCACAUCCAAAACCUUCUGCAGAGCCUCUCGGUGUGGUUCUGAAUUCAAAAGCAAUGAUAACACCGAUAUUUUGGAUGGCGUUUGUAGAAGCUGGUCUACAAUAUUGUACUCGCUCCUUUUGAUGAGCUUCAGCAUCUCAUCGCAGUCUUCUUUCAUAUUUCCGCUUGGGCCAACAGAAGCAGGAGUUAUCAAUGUAGAGGAGGGCUUAACAACAAGUGCCAGAUUCGGAGUGCUCACAGCAUUUCCAAUCGGGCGUUCAACAGAAUCAGUAUUAGUUUGAGGCUUUGAAGGCGCUGAAAAUACACGACCGCUACGGGUCAGACCGCUAACAUGGGCAAUGUUAACAACAGAUGAAGAUGGCAAGGACACCUCUUUCCCAUUUUCUACUGCGACAGCGCUGUAGCGAUAAGGGACCGCUUUCUCAGAAGAGUAUGGUACUGGUCCGGCUGGCUUGAUGGUUAAUGCGGGAGAAUCCUUCUGCUUGCUACCAUCAUACUUGAUGAUAACAGGCUCGGGGAUCCGAAAUACUGGAGAAAUUACGUUGACCUCAUCAGCAUCUUCGUCAACAUUUCUGUUUUGAAGGAUCUUAAUAACUCCUUCAUCCAGCAUUUCUUGGACAUCUUUGCGCACCUGGCGACAACCUCUUUGAUUGAAAGAACAGACUCGGCAUAUAUCAUGGUCAUGCUCAUAAUGACUAUACUCACAUAGCAAACGAUGCAUCUCGACCAGAGAUUGUCGAAUAUGACUGACAUAUUUGACUUUGUACUUGCCAGGGCAGCCCUGGACCAUAUUGACAGACUUCCUCAUAAUGACUAUACUCACAUAGCAAACGAUGCAUCUCGACCAGAGAUUGUCGAAUAUGACUGACAUAUUUGACUUUGUACUUGCCAGGGCAGCCCUGGACCAUAUUGACAGACUUCCCAUGCUCGGGCAAUGGGUUCUUCUUCACGUUAGGACCUACGUCCUCGAAACACAGAAUGCCACACCUUACAAGGUCUUGAACCUUGGUCUUCAAAGGGUAACAAUUCUCCACGUCAUGGCCGGGAGCACCUGAAUGGUAAACACAGUAUAAUUCGGGCUUAUACCACCACUGGGGGUUAGCAGGUAUAGCCGGUUGGUCUCGCGGAUUAAUCAAUUUUCUCUCUAUCAAAGAGGGAUAUAACUCUUCAUACGUCAUCGGAAUAGGAUCGAAGGUGACCCUUUUCCUCUCGUAACUCGUGCUGGUUUGAUUACUGUUUCGAGGCCGGUAGGCCUGCUGUUGCGGACGGUGCUGUUGAUAUUGUGGAUGUGGUUGCUGAUUAUUGUUGUGUUGCUGGUAUUGUUGAUUAUCUCUGAAGAUAGGUGCUAUAUGAGCCACCUGGUGUUGGUUACCGGCGGGACCCCUGGUCUUCCUCCUCACAGAGGGUCUUCUUGGUUUCACAUGGGAAGUCACAACAUGUGUCUCUCCAUCUUUCUUCUUCGCGAACGACCCAUAUCGUUUGGCAGAAGAGCCUUCUUCUCUGGUCAGACGUCCUUCUCUAACCCCUUCUUCUAGAUGCAUCCCCAUAUUCACCAUCUCGGUGAAGUCAGAAGGAGCGCUAGCAAUCAUCCCCUCAUAAUAAAAAGAACUUAAGGUCUUCAAAAAGAUCUUAGUCAUCUUUUUCUUUUCUAGCGGAGGCACGAUCUAUGCUGCUAACUCUCGCCAUCUUUGGGCGUACUCUUUGAAUGUUUCCUUGUCCUUCUGGGACAUGGCCCUCAAUUGAUCCCUAUCGGGAGCCAUAUCCACAUUGUACUUGUAUUUCUUGACGAAGGCCUCGCCAAGAUCGUUGAAGGAUUGGAUGUUCGCACUAUCUAAACCCAUAUACCAACGCAGAGCAGCACCGGACAGACUGUCCUGAAAGUAGUGGAUGAGCAAUUGGUCAUUGUCGGUCUGAGUUGACAUUUUCCUGGCAUACAUGACCAGGUGGCUGAGAGGGCAAGUAUUCCCCUUGUACUUCUCAAAGUCAGGGACCUUGAAUUUCACAGGGAUCUUCACAUUAGGAACCAAGCAGAGUUCGGCAGCAGACUUGCCAAAAAGAUCCUUUCCUCUAAGAGUUUUCAAUUCCUUGCGAAGCUCAAGAAAUUGGUUGUUCAUAGUAUCCAUCUUCUCAUAGACAUCUGGGCCUUCAGACGGCUCAGAAUGAUAGAUGGUAUCGUCUACUCUGGGCAUAGUAUGCACGACAAGAGGAGGAACAGCAAGGACCGGGCUAGAUGCCGGCAUAGAAGCAAAGGUGGGAGCAAGACCCUCGGGCAUGAAAUUGGGAGGCAUCCCCCACGGGAAUCCGGUUGGCAUGGCCGUUGGAGCAAAGUGUGCACUGGCUGCAGGCAUAGUCGAGGAGACAAUCUUAGAGAUGAUUGUCCUCGGGGGAGGAGUUAAAGGUGUCGGAGAAGACUGACUCUGAGCAGCCAUGAAUGAUUCCAUAAAGGCACUUAAUCUGGCCACUUCCUCUUUCAGCUCGUGGUUUUCUUGUUCCAGAUGAUCCAUCAGUCUUGAAAUGUUGGCUCUGGUAUAGUAUCAGUGAGUCAGCUUGUCUUCAAAAUAAAUGAAGAACACAGAGUUACACCACAAGACAAGAAGUCGGGAACAAAACCUACUUAUGCACAUGAUGCAUGUAAUGUUUGUGCACAUGAUUUGUUUUUUAUUUCAAAGGAACUUUAGGGUUCUAUUUGCAGAUUUUGGAAAUAUUAAACACUCUUAUAUGGAAACAUAAUAUCUGGGAAAUAUUUUAUACCAAAUAAGUACAUCACUGGUAACCAAACAUAAUACAAGAGAGAAGGGAAAUAAACAUCUUAUGGAUCCCUAGAAACAAUCAUCUAAAGCUCCGGACACAGGAAGAUAGGAUGCACGAAGUCUCUUCACCUCCCUCUCGUAGGUUGCUUCCAUAUCUGCCUUCUCCUUGGCGAGUCGGUCAUACUUCCUCUUCCAGAACCUAGAAGACUGAGGAAGUAGGGAAGUCCAUGCAUCAUCAGGAUCAUCAAUAACCUGAUGUUCGAGGAACUCUAUCAAAGCAUCCUUCUCCUUGAUCUGCUGAAGCAACUCCUCUCUUUCACGGAUCCAAGCACGUGAGCGGUCUUCGUCUCUCGACUCCUCUACUCCUUUGUUAGGGAGGAUUGAAGGCCCAGCCAUAACCAAAGGUGUAGGUCUUGGAUACUCGUAAGGCAUGAGAUAAUCAGAUGCUCUCUUUCUAACCCAAGCAGUGUAAGGCUCCAUAGCAACACAAUUCUUAGGACCCAACUCUUUCCUUCCUUUUCUAUGAACCUUGCGCCAAGCGCGGACCAUUCUGCCCUUCAAGCCUUGAGGAUCUUUACCCUCCUGAAAGAACACACCCUCUAACAGAAUGUUAUUAGGUUUAUCCUUUAGGGGGGACCCAAGCUGACGACGUGCCAAAACAGGGUUGUAGUUAAUUUUACCACAUGUACCAAGAAGAGGUACAUUGGAGAAUUCACCACAAGAGUCGAUAAUCUGCACACCAUCAUACACGCGGUUGUACCAAGAGAUAUCAUCAUUAGUAAGAGACAUGAGUCUCGUGGACCACCGUAGACAUCCCUUGUUCUCCUUGAAGGCGACCGUCUGCGGUAAGUGAGAAAUAAACCACUUAUACAACAGGGGAAAACAACACACAAUGGCACCACCACCCUUUGCAUUCCUCAUAUGCAAAGAGAAAUAGGUAUCACCCAACAGAGUCGGAACGGGAUUAAGAGUAGAGAAGAUCCUAAUAGCGUUCACAUCCACAAACUUGUCGAUGUUGGGGAACAACACCACCCAUAGAUGAGAAGUACAAAUAUGGCUUCAAAGCAUCCUCACUCAUGGCCUUCCCAUACAAGUAGCUUGAGCAAUGAGGAACUCAGAAGGGAGACCUUGAAUUCCACCUUUGGUAGUCAUAUGAGCACCAACCAGAGAUUCGUCUAUGUGCAACAUGUCAGCUAUCUCUUGAGAAGUAGGAAUACUCUCCAAGCCACUGAACGGAACUGGUCUAGAAUAGGUAUACCCACAAGGUAGGCAUACUCCUCAAGUGUGGGCAAAAGCUGGAAAUCCGGAAAUGUGAACCGGUACAAGGGAUCAUAAAACUGCACCAAUACACUCAUCAAUCCUUCGUCCACCUGAGUAGUCAGAAGAGGAAGAAGCUUCCCAAAACGAGUCUUGAAACCCAAGGGAUCUAGUACAUAGGAUGUAAGAUUCCUUAACUCUUUCAAAUCUGGUUGUCUAAAACUGUACUUCUUUGUAUUCCUUCUUUGUCUUUCCAUGUCUGAAAAUUUUGCAAAUAAACCCCUUAAGUUCCUUGAAAAUUUUCUUCCUUAUUGAUGAUAUGGAUGCAAAUGGGUGCAUGAAUGCAUGAAUGCAACAAUCACACUCAAGGAUCAAGAAAAGGACACCAAACAAAGGUCAUGGGAUGGAUCAUAUCAUCCUUAAUAUCAAUCAUCCAUUUUGGUGGAUUAUGGUUUACAUCUUAUCAACACACAAGUUCCAUUGAUAUUAAGGAUACAUGAACGGAUCAACCAUGAAUCAAGGGCUUGUUGCAAGUCACGAGCAUGGAGUCUUGGUUAAGAACCACCCAAAGGGAGUGUACUAGGGUUUAAACCUGCCAAACAUGUUCUACAAGAGGUUCCCAUAGUCAUCAUCCCAUCUUUCGGAUAUCAUCGGAUAAACGACUACUCGUAUUCCAAAAAUAUUCUCAAGAGAGACUCUUAUGAGUGUAGUAUCACAUAAUUUGAACGACUUUCGCACUACAUCCUAAGAAUAGGCCAAGAUGGGCUUGGUAAACUAAGGUCCUUGGCUUCUAAGGUCUAUAUUCCUUUCUCAUUACAGAUUGGUGUUGAAUGAACACACUGUAAUAUGAUCCCAACAUGACCUCCACCAAGUGAAUGGAUUUGCAAGUCAACUUGCUAAGGAAUAACUCCACACAAGUCAACAAGACUACCCCAUUCUCCUAUCCUAAGUGCACUCGAGUCCGGGUAUAGAACUCAUCUCACAAAGUUCACCAAGCAUACAAGGAGUUAAUAUUCAAGCAAUUCACUCAUUACAUACAAUACAGUAAUCCCAAAUUGCACAAAAAUAUGUCACAAAACAAUACAAUACAAUACAAAAAAUGUGAAAAGUAGGCAAAACCCACUAGGCAAAGAUGUCCCCAGCAGAGUCGCCACUUUUCUGUAGCGGGGUAUUUGUUACCAUUAGAGAUAUUGACUAAACCCAAGGUAAAUCAUACAAGUCGAGUCGCCACUGCACUUCUAUUUAUCCAAAAGGAAUGGUUAGAAAGCGAACAAAAACCUAAAAGUUUUAACAGAAACUAGUAAAAGAGAAACAUAGAUCUGGGUAAGGGGGUUGGUUAUGCAAUGGGAAGGUGUUAGGCACCCAAAACAUCCUAGGUACUCCUAGGGGGCCCUUUUCACAUUUGUUGUAAAGGUUGUUGUUUUUGUGAAAAAUUUGUUUGUGCAAACACGAUUGAAGAGAUGAGAAAAGAAUAUACAAGUUUAUUUACAUUUUGUGUUUGGAUGGGUAAACCCAUUGCCUACGUACCAUCUUAAAAAAGAUUAGGAUCAAAACCUCGUAGUUCGGGGUAAAAAUCUCAAAAUGAGUUGGUGAAUUGAUUGAUCCAAAAGCCUUAAGGUCUUUUGUUAUCAAAGGGAGAAAACUCAACCUAAAACACACAAUCCACCAUGUGAGGAUAGCAACAUGCUAGUGAGGGGUUAACCCUAUAAUAAGCAUGGAAGACUCAUUGUCCAUCACUAAGGAUAUAGGUGACUAUUACAUCUACCACAAAGAUAACUCAAACCUAAUAGCUAAAGGUUAUGAAAAAAGUUUUGAUUAGAAAGUGGCCCUUGAAACCACAAAAAGACAUUUGAAUGGGUUAUAUUUACCAAUGAAAAGUAUGUACAAGAUAUGGUCAAAGUUGAUUUAAGGAUUCAAUUCAAAAUAAGUAUUAAGAAAAGAAAGUUGGAAAUCAAAAGCAUAAGGCUUAGGUUUCUAAUGUUGAGAACAAGUGUUAGAUGUUUGCACAAAAGUUUUGGCUUGGGUUAGAGUGGAGAGAAGAAGAAGAAGGGCUAAAGCCCUAAGCAAAGCAAAAGGUGAGGGAUAAAGAAACAAAACCACAAUGGAGUUCCUCUCUUGAGAUCAUAUGGAUGAUCCAAGUAGCUCCCAUCCUUUGGAAUAAGCUAUCACAAUAAUAGUAAGCUCAUCUCAAGCAAUCAAACAAGUCUCUUAAGAGAUCCUCAAUGUAUCUUGUGUCUUUCACUUUGGAUGAACAUGGCAAUGGUCCUUCAAUUUAAGCUCUCAUAGAAUCCCCUAGCACAAAAGCACACACAUUAAAAGUUCCAUGAAUUAAAUCAAGAAUGGACAAGAGUGAGUUUAGAAUAUGGUCCUUUCAAUGUUCAUCUUCAAGCUUAAGCAUUCUAAAAGCUCAAUGCCUAGUUGCUCUUUGACUCCAAGUUUGCAUAGGGAAAGUCCUAAAGUCUAAGUCCAUUUUGUCCAUUUUUGUAUUUGGUCCACAACAAUCAAAACAAAACACAAGCACAAUAAUAUAUAUACAAAUAUGUGCUCAAAUGAGCAAAAGGCAAAUGGCAUUAACAUAAACAUGUGCUCAAGUGAGCAAAAGGGAAAAGCAAAUGGAUAAUAUGUAUAAGAAUAGUAAAUUGCAUAAAAGUAAAGAGCAAAAAGUAAAUGUUAAUUGUUAAUGGUUAGUGUUAGUAGUUAGUGUGCCAUAAGGCAAAUUUAGCGCUAUGUUAAGCAAUCGUAAUUGUACGUUUAUGUAGAAGUCACAACUAUCUUAGGCCGGUCAAUAAUAAUGUAGGCACAAAACAAGUUAGAAGUCUUGAUUAGUGAACCAAGUUCCAACAACUUGCCAUGCCAAAAAGGAAAAGAGAAUUGAUCUUGUAUUUGUUUAAGCCUUUUGCAUGAUUUAGAAAACAACCUAUCCUUAAUGCAAAGCCAUUCACUUGAUCAAUUGAUCAAGAUGAAUUAGAUUUGAAUCAAGGAAUUAAGUCUCCCUAAUCAAUGCUAACUUAUCAACCUUCAACUCAUUGAUCAAAGGGAAGAGAAGAAGGAGAUGAAGAAUGGAUAAGGAAAAUGGAAAGAUCAAAAUGCAUAAGAUGAAAUAAGAUGUACCAAUCCAUAUGUAUUGACCAAAUGACAUUGAAAGUCAAAGUCAAACAAUGAGAAAUCAAAAAUGAGAUGAAGAUUGGAGAUCAAACAAUAAGCAUAAUAUUUUUGGCAUUUUCAAUAUAAAAAUAAACUUGAAUUAAAAAUAAAAGAAAGGUCAAACUUCAAAAUCACUUCAAAUCAACCUUGAGAGGUCCAAGUGAUUUAUCUCAAGUUCAACAAGAUCAAACUAAGUUUGACAAAAAAAAAACUGCAUUUUUAAAAGUCAGAAACUAUUUUUUAUCAAUUAAAAAUGAAUAAAAAUAACCUAAUUGAACUAAAAUCUCAAAUAAAUCUCAAAUCAAUAAAAAAAUUGAUGAGAAUAUUUUUCAUAGAUCCAUCAUCAUUCAAAUAAGUUAGGAAUUUUUUUUUGUAUUUUUUGAAUAUCAAAAACUAUUUAAAAUGAAUUAAAAACAACCAGUAAAGAGAAAAUUCACAAAAAAUAUCAAAUGAUGAAAUAAAAAAUAUUAAAAAUCAAAAUUAGAAACUAGAAAUUAUUUGAAGAAGAAUGCAAUUGGUCCCAUAUUUUUUGGAUUUAAAAUGAAGAAGAUGUUGAUUUUUGAAAUUAAAGUGAAUUAAAAGAAAUAAAGAAAAUAGAAAUCAAAAAUUAAAAAUUGGAAAAAAGGAGAAGCGUUGGAUGAUGGCUCAUUAAUUGAGCCGGCGCAUCACACGGCCUCUGAGCGCGCUUCCACCAAGGUCCUUAGUCAACUGAAUCACAUGGUGCAUUAUUGGAAGUCAUAACAAUGUGUGGAUGAGAUUAGAUCUGGAAACUGAGAUGGACGGCUCAGAUCCAAUUUGGAGACCAGACGGUGGCAAGCACCACCGUCUUCUCCGGCCACUUCAAAAAUUUGCAGAACAAAAAAUGGAAACCAAAAUGAACGAUCUAGGCAUCAAUCGAAAGAGGAAGUGAUGUACAUCACUCCUAUACCAUUCAUUUACACUUUAGAUUUCUAUUAAGGGAGAAAUCAGAGAUGAAAGCUCGAUGGUGUUCAUCAUGAACUUCAUGUUUUUACAAAAUUGAAAGCACAAAUCAGAUGCCUCUAUUGAAAGGACUUCAGCCAAACCAAGGAACUCAAGAAAUAAGCAAGGACCAAAGAGUUUCGAAGAGAAAAAGUUCUGAUAUCCACCUUUGAAAUGCAGGUGUGGUAAGCACGAUCCUUCACAUCCAAAGCUUGCAAUGAGAUCUAGUGAUGAAAAGGAAGCAAGGCUGAGGAAUUAUAGGUCUGAAAAUCAACCAAGGUAGUUGAAAUUCAGAUCUGAAUUUUUUAGAAGAAAGUAGAAAUUCCUUUAGUGAUGGCUAGGUUUUGAUUUCUGCAGCAUUUCAGAUGAAUCACGGGUUUGAAAUUUGAAUGGAAUAGAGUUCUAUUAUAGAGGGAUGUGGGCAACGGAAAAGAUGAUUCAACCGGUGCAGAAAUUGGAAUGGGAGACUGACCUUCCAAGCUUCAAAUCAAUUUUUUGAUGAACAUGAAAGUUGUUCAUAUUGUCCUUAAGAACAUUUUUUAUUUUGGAAUCAUCUCUAAUUGACCAACACAUAAAAAAGUAGGUUCAGUGGCCAUUUUCACUAGUCAGAUGAAUUGACUGAUCAACUUCUCAAAUCCACAACUCAUAUCUUGAUGAAUUGAUGAUUGAGGACACUCAAAUAAGUUCAAAUAUGCAUGACAUGAUGAAUUAAAGAACUUCCCUUGAUUGUAUUUGACCAUGGGCUGAGGUUGCUUCAAGAGCAAGGCAUUGUGGUGCACAAAAGAAUUAGGGUUUCUUUGGGAACAAACCUCAAACCCUUUGACUUGCUUUGAUCAAAAUGAUGAAUUGAGAUACUAGGGAGGCAUAUUUGAUGGAGGAGAGUUUUGGGAACCAUUACCAUGCUUGCUAUCAUCUUCUCUUGACCUUAUCAUUGCACAAAAGAUCUCCUAGAUGCUUUGGACCUUGUGAUUGCUCAAGCUACAAACAAAAGAUGUUAAUGACAUAUUUUUGUGCUUUUGGUUAAUAAAAAAAUGAGAAAAGCAAUAAUAUAUAAUUCAAGCAUGUUUGGUGAUCUCAAACCAUUCACAAGGGAUCCCAUCCAAAGGCAAAGGGAACCAAGAGGCUUAUGAUCCUUGAGGCAAUGCAAAUGCAAUGUUAUGAUGCCAUGAGGGAUUUUAGGGACAAAAUUGGGGUCUUACACACACCAAUCGUCCAAUUAUUUCGAGGAAUAAUAAGGAAAACACCUUCUACUCCUUUUUUGUUCGAUUAUUUUGAAAGUUUUGUUUGCGGAUGUUGAAUAUGCACGGUAGUGAGGCGUACACCUCCUACUUGCUUAUUCAAAGAAUAAUGAGGCAAGCGCCACCUAUUCCCUUAUCCAAGUUUAUUUAGCAUGUGUUAAUCGGAAGUCGAUAAUUUGUGCAAUAUGGUGAACGCCAAUUAUUCAAAUAAUCGAGAGAUGGCGAGGCGAACGCCUCCCAUCUUUUAUCAUUCGAGGUUUAAAUUGUAAAAGAUAUGUUUUUAGACGUCGUAUUUGAUUUGCGAAAAUAGUUUGAAUUUUGGUAGGUUUGGAUCGAUAAUUUGAGCAAUGUGGCGUACGCCAAUUAUUCAAAUAAUCAAGGAAUGGCGAGGCGAACGCCUCCCAUUCUCUAAUUGAGGUUUAAGUUAUAUAGUUUAUUUUUGUGAAAUUGUAUUCUAUAUAAAAGGUGAUUUGAAUUUAUUCGAUUGUGGUUUUGAUUUGAUGACGAAGAUUCGAGCAAUAUGGCGUACGCCAAUUAUUCGAAUAAUCGAAAGAUAGUGAGGCGAACGCCUCCUAUCCUUUUAUUAUCGGAAAUUUAGAAUCAAAUGGUUGUAGAAUUUGUAGUUGAUUUAGAAAAUGUGAUUUGAAUGUGUAUGAUUAAGGUUUAAUCGGGUGACAAGAACUCGAGCAAUAUGGCGUACGCCAAUUAUUCAAGUGCUUGAGAAAUACUGAAGCGAACGCUUCCUAUAUCUUUUUCAUCCCAAAAUUUAUGUUUGAAAGAGAAAAAUCUUAAGAAGUUAAACGGUUUGGAAAAUGGUUUGAAUUCAUGUUUAUGAAUGAAAUGAAUUUUAUUUAGUGUAUUGUUCAUCUACUCGAUCGAUCAAUAACCGAAUAAGUCUCAUUGUAAGAAAGCCCAAGAGUAAGCUAUGUGAGGUUGAUGGCGAUGCUAAGAGCAAUCAACGCACAAGGGUGUUUAAAAAAAUAGGCUCGAUGUUAAAUCGAGAAUUGGAUGAUUUAUUUGUGGUUUGAAUCAUGGUUUUGUAUUGAUGACAAAAUGGAACGAAAUGAUGUGAAGAAUUUAAAAUUCGAUUAAAUCACUUAUCUAAAAUAGUCAGAAAUAAUUAUCAAAUAUAUUUGAUUUAAACCAAAUAUUCGAGAUGGUUAAAAUUAAUUAUUAGAUUAACUAAUUUAAAUAAAUCUUGAUUAGAUCAAUUAUUUAAAUUAAAAAAAAAUUGAUCGAAGUAAGUGAACCACAAUGUGCUCAAAACAAUUUCACGAAGAUGACAACGAUACCUAAAUUCAGUUUCGGCAAAAAUCCUAAUGUGGCAAAUAUUAUAUUACUGUAUUGAAAAUUGAGCGGUAUAUUGACAUGAAAUUGUCGAAUCCGCGAGUCAAAAAUAAGUCCAAUUAAAUAAGGAGAUAAAUUAAAAUUAGUAAUAAACCAAUAGCAGGAGGGGUGCAAGCAAAGCACAGGAGGGUGAUGGUACCCAAACCAUUAAUUGGGUCAGGCCCAAAACACAAUCCAAUUAUCAAAACUCACUAACUAUACUAAUCAUGUAAUUAAUCCCUAUUAAAAAAUGCAUAAAGAAGAAAAGAAAAAAAAGUUUAGCACAAGAUUUUCUCAACCAAUCAGAAUAGGCAAGGAGUUUUUAGAGCUGGAUCACCUUAUCCAUCGCUUCAGUACCUACACAUCCCCAGCAGAACAAAUCACUCAAUGGAUCGCUUCAAAACCCACUUCUAAAUCACGUUGUUCGCAACUUUCACACUUAUGUUAACUUCCCCUGCAUCGUCCAUGUCAUGAUCGUCUCCGCCUUCAUGAUGAUGCAUCGUCGGCCACGAAACUCAGCGCAAAGAUGGUGAUGAUGAAGUUUCAAAAUUUGUACUGUAUAGCUACUGGUGAUGGUUGAGUUGCAACAUUUGUUGACAUGGAUGAUUCGGUUUAGAUAUGGGGAGGUUAUGUACCAAAAAACUUAUUCAAGCAUUAUAAUGAGUCGGGUUUGCUGGCGGUUGUAGCUGUUGGGGGUGGAAGGAAGUAGGUGGUUGGUUUUUUUUGCAGAAGUUGUUAGGUUUUUGUAUGGAUCUAACGGCGGUGAAGCGAAGUGAUGGCGGUAAAGAACAACGAGGUUUAAUAGUGACGGUUGAAGCCGGAGGAGACGGUCGUUGAGGGUUUGAGAGGUGAGGUGCGGUUGUGAAAUGGAGAUGGUUGACGAACGGAGGGAGCUAGCGGAUGUAUUCGGUUCAGUGGCCGGUCAUUUGGAGUGGGUUGUGGAAGGAGAUUUUCGGUGAGGGUUUCGUGGUGGUAGAUCAGAGAGAAAAAAGGUCGCGUGGUUUGAAGGUGAUGGUGGCGAGGGUUUGACGGCGGAAUGUUUAUGAGGGGUUGUGUCGUUAGCGGUGGUGAGUGGUUGAUGGUCGAUUGAAGAAGAAAAAGGAGAUGGUGAUGGUUCUGUGUGUGGGAAGUAGAUCGGAGGGUUUGAACAGACGGGGUAUGGUUGAAGUGGGAUUUCGGCAAGGUAACAGUAUAUUUGUUCUUUUUCCUUCCCAAUGAUUCGACGCAUCCUUUUAUAGGCGAAGUUUGUGGUCCCUCUGAGUAUAAGCUGGCUCGGAUUGCAUAAUUAUUCGGUUAGAAUUGGAUCAUUCCCAGAUUUGGUGGGGACCAAAUACGUGACAGGUAAGAAUCUCUCUCUCUGUAGUGUAAUCUCAAAUCCUUCUAGAACAUGUGGUCCCAUAGGAGAAAAUCUCACUGCUUGUUGUCACGUUAUGCUUGUUGUUUGUUGAACGCAGGAUCUCAUUGGCGGCAUGACAAGUCCUUAUUCUCUGCCUUGGUUGUGAAGCGGCUUACGUUUUGAAUUGAGAUUAGAGUGUGAGCAUCUAAGAAGGGUGAAAACGAUGGUGGACGUUAGCAUUCGUCCGCUUUCCGAGGCUUGGAUUUGUUUUUGAGAAGAAUUUCGGUUGAAUUUCCCCUGUGAAACUUUACUUGUUAGCUUCUUGAUUUUGGUUGAAAAUCCAACUUUCUGUAUGCAUUGCCGGUGUUUGUUUUUAUUUACUUUGGCUUGAUCUCUUGGCUCUCAUCAAGUCAAUUGUUCAUGCUGCUGGAUUGUACAUGUUUGUGUGUAUGAAUUACUAUUAUGUAACCUUUACUCACACACUUGAUUUUGCAGGUUGCACUUGUGAAAUUAGUUUGCAGGUUCAACAGUACUGAAUGGAUCUCCUCUUGCAAGCUUAAGUUUAUUUUUGAAAGUGGUAUUUGAGAAGAGUGAACUUAUUAGCUCAUUAUGCAUUCCUGUUCUUCGGAUAACUUGCAGGAAAGGCCCCCAUUAGGUUGAAGCAAUUUCGUCUGCUAUUUGGAUGAGUCAGAGGUAUCUAUUUAAAAACUGCACAACCUAAACGUUCCUGUACUUUCAGAAUCCAUGUACCUUUGUAGCAUGAAUUUGUGUUGUUGCUUGGUACUUUUGAGUUUGAUCUGGUAUACGACUUACCGCAGAUUUUGAUGUUACCACUGAUGUGUUGUAGAGUACUGAUUAUCUCAUUCCUAUUGGUAAGCCUGUGGUACUAUCUGGCGGCAAUCCUCCAAGAAGAUUGACAAAUGCUGCAGGUAUCAUCGCCUACAGAGUUUAAACCAUGUAUUUGAUUGUUUUGUAUGAUGAUGUUACCGGUGUAUUCAAUCCGUGUUGGUAACCUGCUGCAGGUUUUGGUUGCAUUUACCCUGAACAUUGUUUAGAUGGCAUGUUCAUGUUUUAAUUUUAUGUUAUGCAUUUCUAGAUUAUGCUGCAGUAGAAAGCAAUUUAGCCGACGACUGUCGUGGGCCCUGCCCUUGAUUAAUAAUCCAACUCAAUUGCAGCUAAAUUUCCAACAGAUGUGCCCUCCACAAUGCUCACUUGACUAGCUGGAUUGGGCAUGGGGGAACCAAAUGGUGGUUCUGAUGAUUUCCACUCAGAAAACGCGGUAUGAGCAAUUGCUAACACACUAAUUAAAUCCAUAGAUCCUUGAGAUAUUGAGGUGCUUGUACUAACUUGAGAAGCACUAUUUCCAGGACCUUGAUCAAUUUUAAGUGAAUCAGGUUAAGAUGCAUUUAAUAACUCAAAAUGCACCUGCAGUUGGUGAUGGUUGGGAGCAACGGCAGCAGGCUGUGCUGGUGUAGCUAUAUGACCUGAAAUAUACGGGGAAACCGGUGGCUUGGGUGGUUCGCUUGGAUCUAUACCAGAUCCAAAACAUAAAGCUUGCCCCUGCAUCAUUUGUGUGUUUUGAUUAACUUUCUCAACAGGUUGGCUUCCUGAAGCAGUUGCCUUUCCUUUGCCAAUCGGAUUGCAUAUGCCUGUUGUGAAUUUGAGGCAUGGUUUUGUAUAUGAUGUACUGAUGCUUAGGUCAUGUACUUUGGUCAUUGUAUUGUGUAUGUCAGCAUGUGAGUUGGUUUUUGGUUGUAAUGAGAAUGGACAAGGUUUAUGUGUUUUGGUUAUAAUAAUUUAUGUAAUGACAGUUUGGCUUUUGAAAUGAACAUGGUU